GCCGGCGAGCGGCGGACGGGUGAGUAAUGCCUAGGAAUCUGCCUGGUAGUGGGGGAUAACUCGGGGAAACUCGAGCUAAUACCGCAUACGUCCUACGGGAGAAAGCGGGGGAUCUUCGGACCUCGCGCUACCAGAUGAGCCUAGGUCGGAUUAGCUAGUUGGUGGGGUAAAGGCUCACCAAGGCGACGAUCCGUAACUGGUCUGAGAGGAUGAUCAGUCACACUGGAACUGAGACACGGUCCAGACUCCUACGGGAGGCAGCAGUGGGGAAUAUUGGACAAUGGGCGAAAGCCUGAUCCAGCCAUGCCGCGUGUGUGAAGAAGGUCUUCGGAUUGUAAAGCACUUUAAGUUGGGAGGAAGGGCAGUAAGUUAAUACCUUGCUGUUUUGACGUUACCGACAGAAUAAGCACCGGCUAACUUCGUGCCAGCAGCCGCGGUAAUACGAAGGGUGCAAGCGUUAAUCGGAAUUACUGGGCGUAAAGCGCGCGUAGGUGGUUUGAUAAGUUGGAUGUGAAAGCCCCGGGCUCAACCUGGGAAUUGCAUCCAAAACUGUCUGGCUAGAGUAUGGCAGAGGGUGGUGGAAUUUCCUGUGUAGCGGUGAAAUGCGUAGAUAUAGGAAGGAACACCAGUGGCGAAGGCGACCACCUGGGCUAAUACUGACACUGAGGUGCGAAAGCGUGGGGAGCAAACAGGAUUAGAUACCCCGGUAGUCCACGCCGUAAACGAUGUCGACUAGCCGUUGGGAUCCUUGAGAUCUUAGUGGCGCAGCUAACGCAUUAAGUCGACCGCCUGGGGAGUAC
rnacentral:rRNA from 1 species